rnacentral:rRNA from 1 species
CGGACGUGAGCAAUCUGCCUUUAAGUAGGGGGUAACAGUCGGAAACGGCUGCUAAUACCGCAUAAAGCAUCAAAUUCGCAUGUUUUUGUAUGCCAAAGGAGCAAUCCGCUUUUUAGAUGAGCUCGCGUCUGAUUAGCUGGUUGGCGGGGUAACGGCCCACCAAGGCGACGAUCAGUAGCCGGACUGAGAGGUUGAACGGCCACAUUGGGACUGAGACACGGCCCAG